GCCGGCUUCGGCCCGGCCGGCUUCGGCCCGGCCGGCUUCGGCCCGGCCGGCUUCGGCCCGGUCGGCUUCGGCCGGUUCGGCUUCGGACGGGUCGGCU
rnacentral:tRNA from 1 species